rnacentral:rRNA from 1 species
AGAAAGUAUAUUUGCGGAUAUGCACGAGCCAUUAGUGAGAUACCACUCUUUGUAAAUUAGAAUUCUAAUUUUGAACGCCAUUAGCUGGCCAAAAAACAGUUCCAGGUAGGCAGUUUGACUGGGGCGGUCGCCUCCUAAAAAGUAACGGAGGCGCGCAAAGGUUCCCUCAGGCUGGUCGGAAAUCAGUCGUAGAGUGUAAAGGCAUAAGGGAGCUUGACUGCAAGACUUACAAGUCGAGCAGAGACGAAAGUCGGCCUUAGUGAUCCGACAGUACCGAGUGGAAGGGCUGUCGCUCAACGGAUAAAAGUUA